CAGCCGCCACGGUAAUACGGAGGAUCCAAGCGUUAUCCGGAAUCAUUGGGUUUAAAGGGUCAGUAGGCGGUCUUGUAAGUCAGUGGUGAAAGCCCAUCGCUCAACGGUGGAACGGCCAUUGAUACUGCAGGACUUGAAUUAUUGGGAAGUAACUAGAAUAUGUAGUGUAGCGGUGAAAUGCUUAGAGAUUACAUGGAAUACCAAUUGCGAAGGCAGGUUACUACCAAUUGAUUGACGCUGAUGGACGAAAGCGUGGGUAGCGAACAGGAUUAGAUACCCCCGUAGUCCCUGUCUCUUAUAC
rnacentral:rRNA from 1 species